rnacentral:rRNA from 1 species
AUUGAACGCUGGCGGCAGGCCUAACACAUGCAAGUCGAACGGUAACAGGAAGAAGCUUGCUUCUUUGCUGACGCGUGGCGGACGGGUGAGUAAUGUCUGGGAAACUGCCUGAUGGAGGGGGAUAACUACUGGAAACGGUAGCUAAUACCGCAUAAUGUCGCAAGACCAAAGAGGGGGACCUUCGGGCCUCUUGCCAUCGGAUGUGCCCAGAUGGGAUUAGCUAGUAGGUGGGGUAACGGCUCACCUAGGCGACGAUCCCUAGCUGGUCUGAGAGGAUGACCAGCCACACUGGAACUGAGACACGGUCCAGACUCCUACGGGAGGCAGCAGUGGGGAAUAUUGCACAAUGGGCGCAAGCCUGAUGCAGCUAUGCCGCGUGUAUGAAGAAGGCCUUCGGGUUGUAAAGUACUUUCAGCGGGGAGGAAGGGAGUAAAGUUAAUACCUUGGCUCAUUGACGUUACCCGCAGAAGAAGCACCGGCUAACUCCGUG